ACAAACUUGGUCAUUUAGAGGAAGUAAAAGUCGUAACAAGGUAACCGUAGGUGAACCUGCGGUUGGAUCAUUACCGAAAAAGAUCAUAGCUUUUGCUAGCUUAGCCACUCUUUCCAGCAGUGGAAGGGUGGCCAACAGCAACGACAUUUUUGUGAACUGUAUUGAAAAUGGCGGUGGGGUGAGGUCCGCAUACACUGAAUAUGUUUUCAGGUUCCCAUUGGCUUCACCUUGUCAGCUUAGGGGCCCGGGGGACAUUUGGGCCCCUCUUGCCGUGGACAAACCGCCAACUUUUUCCAACACCUGCCAUUUUCAUCCGGUCUUACUUCACCUGUAUUGAACGAAAACAACUUUUGGCAACGGAUCUCUUGGCUCUCGCAUCGAUGAAGAACGCAGC
rnacentral:misc_RNA from 1 species